AGUGAACGCUGGCGGUAGGCCUAACACAUGCAAGUCGAACGGCAGCACAGUAAGAGCUUGCUCUUACGGGUGGCGAGUAGCAGACGGGUGAGGAAUACGUCGGAAUCUACUUUUUAGCGUGGGCUAACGUAGGGAAACUUACGCUAAUACCGCAUCCGACCUACGAUAGAAAUCAUGAGAUCUUCGGAACUUGCUCGAAUGUAUGUGCCGGUGGCGGAUUAGCUAGUUGGCGGGGUAAAGGCCCACCAAGGCGACGAUCCGUAGCUGGUCUGAGAGGAUGAUCGGCCACACUGGAACUGAGACACGGUCCAGACUCCUACGGGAGGCAGCAGUGGGGAAUAUUGGACAAUGGGCGCAAGCCUGAUCCAGCCAUACCGCGUGGGUGAAGAAGGCCUUCGGGUUGUAAAGCCCUUUUGUUGGGAAAGAAAAGCAGCAGGUUAAUACCCCGCUGUUCUGACGGUACCCAAAGAAUAAGCACCGGCUAACUUCGUG
rnacentral:rRNA from 1 species